GUCUCCAGCCCUGCAGGAACGGAGGGAAAUGCACUGGGAAAAACAAAUGCAAAUGUGACAAAGGUUUCCACGGCGACCUGUGUUCCAAGGCUGUCUGUGAGCCCAGCUGUGGAGCCCAUGGGACCUGUGUGGAACCCAACAAGUGCCUGUGUAAGGAGGGCUGGCACGGACGCCACUGUAACAAGAGAUACAGAGGAGGUGCCUCUAACACCCAUCGUCUCUCAUCAGGCCCUAAACACAAGCCUCAGCAGCACUCCUCCUCUGCCAAGGAGGUGAAAGACGCCCCCGAUGCCGACAUCCCAGCAGAGACCAAUUACGUGGUAUAAGAGCCGGGUCCAGACAACCACACCUGGGUUCAAGCACUAUUCAACCUCUUUCAGAUACUUUCAGCAUCUGCUCUAGUCCGGUUGGCGGCGCCUGAUGGGUGCGGCCUGGUGGGAGGGGUUUGAUGGGCAGGGUCUGGUGGGCGGGG